UGGGGGCUGGGCAGGGCUGUGCAUGCGGGGUCGGUAUUCUCUCAUCUCUUCUGACCUUCUUAUCUUACAGAAGGAAAAAGGGGACCAGAGAGGGGGACAAGCUUGCACAAUUAACACAUAGAGGCUGAGGAAGGUCUCGAGAUCAGGUGCUUGUGCUUAAGAAUACAGAGAGGAACAAGACACAGCACCAAUCCUCCAGGAACUCACUCUCAUAGGAAUGAAGGGACAGGGA